rnacentral:rRNA from 1 species
GUGGGGAAUAUUGGACAAUGGGCGAAAGCCUGAUCCAGCCAUGCCGCGUGUGUGAAGAAGGUCUUCGGAUUGUAAAGCACUUUAAGUUGGGAGGAAGGGUUGUACGUUAAUACCGUGCAAUUUUGACGUUACCGACAGAAUAAGCACCGGCUAACUUCGUGCCAGCAGCCGCGGUAAUACGAAGGGUGCAAGCGUUAAUCGGAAUUACUGGGCGUAAAGCGCGCGUAGGUGGUUCAGUAAGUUGGAAGUGAAAUCCCCGGGCUCAACCUGGGAACUGCCUCCAAAACUGCAUGACUAGAGUACGGUAGAGGGUAGUGGAAUUUCCUGUGUAGCGGUGAAAUGCGUAGAUAUAGGAAGGAACACCAGUGGCGAAGGCGACUACCUGGACUGAUACUGACACUGAGGUGCGAAAGCGUGGGGAGCAAACAGGAUUAGAUACCCCUUGUAGUCC